rnacentral:rRNA from 1 species
CGGCGGACGGGUGAGUACGCGUGGGUACCUGCCUCAUACAGGGGGAUAACAGUUAGAAAUGACUGCUAAUACCGCAUAAGACCACAGCACCGCAUGGUGCGGGGGUAAAAACUCCGGUGGUAUGAGAUGGACCCGCGUCUGAUUAGCUAGUUGGUAAGGUAACGGCUUACCAAGGCGACGAUCAGUAGCCGACCUGAGAGGGUGACCGGCCACAUUGGGACUGAGACACGGCCCAA